GGACAAGGGUUUUGCGCAUUCCUCACAGGUGGUGAUAGAAGUGAAGCAGUUUGCAUGUCCAGCCUUAGUCCUCUGCAGUCUUGAUGCUUUCCUGCUAUUCAGAUUCUUGCUGCAGUCACUGUCCCUGUGCCUGUGCCUUCAAAUCUCUUUGUCUUGGCUUCUAGUUUUGACAAGCAGAUAAGGCUUCCAAAGCCUGAAUGAUGACGUUUCCACUUAAUUUACUCGGCUUUCCUGAUCAUCUUUUCAUGCCUGAGAUCAGGUCUAGGCUCCACACAUCUUUCUGAGAUAUGCAAGGCAACUGACUGUGUUGAUGUUGGUCCAUUGGAUGGAUGCUGGAUCUUUACUCUUCUGUUUGUGAAGCUUUAGAAGUGUUGCUCAUAACUGAUUGAUAGAUGAGGCUCUAAAACAGCUAUAAUUAAGGUAGUGUUCAUACUGCCAUAAUUACAGGGUAAAGCAGUUUUAUUUACCAGGAUUACGUAUUAGUUACAGCAAUCCAAGCUACAUUUCGAUUAGUCACAGGAGGACCUGACAGAACAUGGAUGUUAACAUUAAGCAUCCAAUAUGUUAAUUUGUAAACCUGUCAUAUUUGCCAUGGUGGCAGUAAAUGAUGUUAAAUAGCUUUUUCAAUAGAUUAAUUAGUGGUAACCUUUUGGGUUGAUACAUCUGCCACA
rnacentral:lncRNA from 1 species